UUGUGAAAUUCUUCCAUAAUAAAUAGAGUCUGUAAAAGUGGCUAAAAGGGAGUUUUUAUGAGGUAAAAGAGGCUGCAAGAUAUUCCAAAGAGAUCCUAACAAAUUAGCCUUUAUUUUGCACGUUUUUGCCUUAUUUGGCACCUCCAAAUCAGGCUAGAAAUCCUCAUUGCUUUCCCAUUCUGCUCUUAGUCAUCAAACAAGCCAGGUUCACCUUGGAUUCUUUAUUUGGACUUCAAAAC
rnacentral:lncRNA from 1 species